rnacentral:antisense_RNA from 1 species
CUUCACCGAGCCGAGCCACAGCGGACGCUGUCGGUCCCUGCCGUACGUGGCCAUCAGCGCCUGCGCCUC